rnacentral:rRNA from 1 species
GACUCUCUAGCUUGCUAGAGAUGAUUAGUGGCGGACGGGUGAGUAACAUUUAGGAAUCUGCCUAGUAGUGGGGGAUAGCUCGGGGAAACUCGAAUUAAUACCGCAUACGACCUACGGGUGAAAGGGGGCGCAAGCUCUUGCUAUUAGAUGAGCCUAAAUCAGAUUAGCUAGUUGGUGGGGUAAAGGCCCACCAAGGCGACGAUCUGUAACUGGUCUGAGAGGAUGAUCAGUCACACCGGAACUGAGACACGGUCCGGACUCCUACGGGAGGCAGCAGUGGGGAAUAUUGGACAAUGGGGGCAACCCUGAUCCAGCCAUGCCGCGUGUGUGAAGAAGGCCUUUUGGUUGUAAAGCACUUUAAGCAGGGAGGAGAGGCUAAUGGUUAAUACCCAUUAGAUUAGACGUUACCUGCAGAAUAAGCACCGGCUAACUCUGUGCCAGCAGCCGCGGUAAUACAGAGGGUGCGAGCGUUAAUCGGAAUUACUGGGCGUAAAGCGAGUGUAGGUGGCUCAUUAAGUCACAUGUGAAAUCCCCGGGCUUAACCUGGGAACUGCAUGUGAUACUGGUGGUGCUAGAAUAUGUGAGAGGGAAGUAGAAUUCCAGGUGUAGCGGUGAAAUGCGUAGAGAUCUGGAGGAAUACCGAUGGCGAAGGCAGCUUCCUGGCAUAAUAUUGACACUGAGAUUCGAAAGCGUGGGUAGCAAACAGGAUUAGAU